AUACUUACCUGGCAGGGGAGACACAUGAUCACAAAAGCGGUUUUCCCAGGGCGAGGCUUAUCCAUUGUCCUCCACGGGUGCUGACCCCUGUGAUUUCCCCCAAUGCGGGAAACUCGACUGCAUAAUUUGCGGUCAUGGAAGGCUGCGGUCACGCUCUCCCG